rnacentral:lncRNA from 1 species
CUUCUUACGAUACAAGUGUUAUUGUGUGUUCCUACUUUGCUUUAUAUUUUAUAUAUAAUAAUAAUAUAAUAGUUUAUAAUUUAAUAAUAUAAUAGUUUAUAAUUUAAUAAUAUAAUAGUUUAUAAUUUAAUAAUAUAAUAGUUUAUAAUUUAAUAAUAUAAUAGUUUAUAAUUAAUGUUUUAUAUUAAAUAUUAUUGACUAAAUAUAAAUAAACCUUAACUACAUACCUCACGUAAGUUUGUAGUUUACACGCAGCCUUCGGCCGAAGUAUUCCCCGAAGGAAAACCUAACAAACGAGAAACUCGGCCCGAGUUGUAGUUUAACAACAAUAUAAGUCACGCACCCUUGUUUCACUACGAAACCAUAACUACUCACGGGCUUCGCCCGUAAAAUACAACUAGGCUCAUCACCAGCGCACCUGUCAUGUUACUUCGACAAACCAGAGCACCAGCGUUAGAACUAGUGGUUAAACAACAACUAGGCUUCAACUGGAGGCCUGCUACGAUAGUAACUAAGCCUCAAGUUACUUAAUUCAGUAACAGAUAAAGGACUCAGAGUACCUAAUUUGUAGGUUAGUUAUUGUUUAACUCAAUAAACACCAUUCCCAAAAAGGGGGGGGGGGGUUGCGGAGCAACCCUCCGGUCUUAGGCCAGAUCAUCAACUAACGUAAUCGGCCUGUGGCCGAUUACGUUAGUAAAAGAGGUACCCUUACUGCAUGCUGCGCAUGCAGAGGACGUUGGUUAGAAAGCCGUAGGCUGUACUUGUGGGUCCUUAUGAACAACAACCUCGGAUAGGGGCCGGNCGAUCUUAUUUUAAAGCCACCAAGCGCUUCUUCCCCUUUAGUUCCCCUUUAGGGGAUGACCUAAAGGGGAACCCCCUUCGUUGUCUUCUUCUUCCCCUUUAGUUCCCCUUUAGGGGAUGAACUAAAGGGGAACUUUAGUUCCCCUUUAGGGGAAGAACCCCCCUUCUUCCCCUACGGGGAGUUCAUCCCCUUUGGUUAUCUGUCUUCUUUAGUUCAUCCCCUAAAGGGGAACUAAAG